GACGAACGCUGGCGGCGUGCUUAACACAUGCAAGUCGAACGGAAAGGCCCCUUUGGGGGUACUUGAGUGGCGAACGGGUGAGUAACACGUGAGUAACCUGCCCUUGACUUCGGGAUAACUUCAGGAAACUGGGGCUAAUACCGGAUAGGAAUCCUUGCUGCAUGGUGGGGGUUGGAAAGCUUCGGCGGUUUUGGAUGGACUCGCGGCUUAUCAGCUUGUUGGUGGGGUAGUGGCUUACCAAGGCUUUGACGGGUAGCCGGCCUGAGAGGGCGACCGGCCACAUUGGGACUGAGAUACGGCCCAGACUCCUACGGGAGGCAGCAGUGGGGAAGAUUGCACAAUGGGCGGAAGCCUGAUGCAGCAACGCCGCGUGCGGGAUGACGGCCUUCGGGUUGUAAACCGCUUUCAGCAGGGGCGAAGCUUUUGUGACGGUACCUGCAGAAGAAGCACCGGCUAACUACGUG
rnacentral:rRNA from 1 species